rnacentral:rRNA from 1 species
CAGCCGCCGCGGUAAUACGGAGGGUGCAAGCGUUAAUCGGAAUUACUGGGCGUAAAGCGCACGCAGGCGGUCUGUCAAGUCAGAUGUGAAAUCCGCGGGCUUAACCUGGGAACUGCAUUUGAAACUGGCAGACUGGAGUCUUGUAGAGGGGGGUAGAAUUCCAGGUGUAGCGGUGAAAUGCGUAGAGAUCUGGAGGAAUACCGGUGGCGAAGGCGGCCCCCUGGACAAAGACUGACGCUGAGGUACGAAAGCAUGGGGAGCAAACAGGAUUAGAUACCCGCGUAGUCCCUGUCUCUUAUAC